rnacentral:lncRNA from 1 species
UAGUAGAGAGCUGACUUUAGAGGGAUCAAGAAUAGCUUGCUGGAUGGAAGGAGCUUGGGGCCAGUCAUCAUCUUAAAGGCUCUGUGGCAGCUUGGACUUGAAGUAGGGUGCACCCGGAAUUGACCAAUACAAACAGUGGACUGCACUGGAUUCUUCUUGUGCCCUGUCUCAUAUCCUCUUGUCCCACCUUUUCAUAACAGCCAUUGCCAUGGGAACCAGCUGCAUCCAGAUCACAUCCAGGGGCCAAAACCAGUUCUGUGAGCCACUGGAUGAAGACAUUGACCAACUAGAAAGCAUCUGCAGAGGUCAAGUAGGACCAUGGGAGAUCCAGAUUCCAUUUAAACAAGAAUGCCUUAAAGAAGUGGGAAUAUUUAGCCUGAGUGAGAGAAAAUGCUCUUACUCUGUGUGUGAUCAGAGGAGGAGAAAGGAGGACAAAGUUACAUCAAUGUGAUCAGCAACCAUUUGAUAGAGCUACUGUGCUCAAGAGGGGACAGUUUGAUUUAUACGUUUGACAAGGUGGAGCCAGGAUCAAUGAGUGAACAUUAAAGGAAAGAAUAUUUGGGCUCAAUAUUUGGGCUCAAUAUUUUGGGCUCAAUAAUUUGGGCUCAAUAAGGAGGACUUUCCCAAUAAUUACAACGUUCCAAACUUGAAAUGGGGUGUCUCAAAAAGGAGUGAGUGCCCUGUUACUGAAAACAUUUAGGUUAGGGCUAAAUAGCCAUCAAUUAGGGUGAUAUAAUGAGAUUCCUGUGACUGUUCCAACAAGCAUCUGGUGUGCACCAGUCAUGUAGAUUCUAAGAGACACUGAGAGCAAAGAGAAACACUUCCUCCCUCAAAGAGCUCAGGGUUUCAAGAGACUGACAUGUAAACAAACUGAUAAUAAUGGCAAUUUGGUAUAACAUAUGCAAUUUGGAGUAACGUGUGCAAAGGAACAUGGGCCAAAUUUUAACUACUAGAGAGAGAAAAGCUGAUGCUCUGCUAGGGGUAGGAGGAGGCUGAGAAUGAAACUAGAGAGGAUUUUAGGGAGAAGGUAAUGUUGAGCAGAUUUGAAGGAUAUGUAGGAGUUUUUUGUGGACACUAUUGUUCAAUUAAUGCUGGUCAAUAAGGAGAACACUCAGGAUAAGUGGGGCAGGGGUUGGGGGUUGCAAAAGACAUGGAGGUAGAAACAGCAUGGCUUAUCAAGGACCCAACUGGUUUGAAAGAUCUUCAGCAUAAGGUGGUGGGAAAGGGAAGAGAGGGGAAGUGGCAGGAGAUCAAGAAGAUGGGAGAGCAAGAAAGAGAAUGCCUUUGAUCUUGAACAGAAGGGCUUCCCUCAUGGAGAUGAGAGGAAAUGCAUAGCAAUGUGGAGAGAGUAAGGGCUGGUCAGUAAGAUUAACAUGGCUGGUGACAACAUAUUUCUCAGUGAAUAACUGAUCAACAUAAGACGAAUGAAGUUGUGUAGGGGUCUCAUGGAGACUGUCCUAAAGACUUAGCAUAAUUGUGGGCAAUGUGAAGGAAAGGCAAAAUAAUUGAUAGAUAGCAUCAAGUACCGAAAGGGAAAAUAUUAAAAUUUGUAGCGUCAGUCCACACAGGCCUCUGAUUUUCUUUAAGAGCACUCAGAUGUGUAGGGGGUCAGAGGAGAUGGGCUCUAAGGUCUUUUCUAAGUUCAAGAUUCCCAAACUCCAUGCCUUGCCAUUAUUCCCUCUUGGGCAUAUGGGAUAUUUUGUAAUGGCUUUUAAAAAAUAUAUACCAUAUAAUUGCCAAGGAAAAUUGUCUAAUUAAAUGAUUUUUA